GACGAACGCUGGCGGCGUGCUUAACACAUGCAAGUCGAACGGAAAGGCCCUGCUUUUGUUGGGUGCUCGAGUGGCGAACGUGUGAGUAACACGUGAGUCACCUUCCCUUUACUUUGUGAUAACUUCAGGAAACUGGGGCUAAUACCUGCUAGGAGCUCCUGCUGCAUGGUGGGGGUUGGAAAGUUUCGGCGGUUGGGGAUGGACUCGCGGCUUAUCAGCUUGUUGGUGGGGUAGUGGCUUACCAAGGCUUUGACGGGUAGCCGGCAUGAGAGGGUGACCGGCCACAUUGGGACUGAGAUACGGACCAGACUCCUACGGGAGGCAGCAGUGGGGAAUAUUGCACAAUGGGCGGAAGCCUGAUGCAGCAACGCCGCGUGCGGGAUGACGGCCUUCGGGUUGUAAACCGCUUUCGCCUGUGACGAAGCGUGAGUGACGGUAAUGGGUAAAGAAGCACCGGCUAACUACGUG
rnacentral:rRNA from 1 species